AUCCAGCUGACGAGUCCCAAAUAGGACGAAACGCGGGUAAAACUGGAU
rnacentral:hammerhead_ribozyme from 1 species